ACAUGAUGACGUUCCCCUUCCCCUGUCCCUUCUAUUUCGCAAUUGCGGCGGUGGCGGCGGCAGGGAUGGCACCGGAGGAAUGACCUGACAGCUAUGGCUACUUCUCUCGAGCGUGGUGUUCUUCCCUUUCCCUCUCCCACGCGGUGGCGAACCGGAGGCGACGUGGGCGGUGCAAUGAUCGGGGUGAGCUCGGCGGCGCCAGCGGCCUUCUACGGCAUCCGUCUCCACCCUCGGCGGUCUUAUCGCUUGGGAAGGGGAAGAAACUAGGGAAGGAAAGGAAAAAAGAGAGGAGUUUAGGGAGUGAUGGAAGUGAUGCUGGAGACAGGCACCUGACAGUGAGAUGAUGGAGGUGGAGAAGAAGGCCCAGCCGAUGACAUAGAAGAAGAGGAGAGCUCAAUGCUGCGGAGCAAAAGGAACAACAGCAAACAAGGAAUUGGAAUUCUGCCAAGAAAUCUAGGAGCAGAAGAAGAUGCAAGACUUGCGGAC